CCUACGGGGGGCAGCAGUGGGGAAUAUUGCACAAUGGGCGAAAGCCUGAUGCAGCAACGCCGCGUGAAGGAAGAAGGGUUUCGGCUCGUAAACUUCUAUCAAUAGGGACGAAAAAAAUGACGGUACCUAAAUAAGAAGCCCCGGCUAACUACGUGCCAGCAGCCGCGGUAAUACGUAGGGGGCAAGCGUUAUCCGGAAUUACUGGGUGUAAAGGGAGAGUAGGCGGCAUGGUAAGUUAGAUGUGAAAGCCCGAGGCUUAACCUCGGGAUUGCAUUUAAAACUAUCAAGCUAGAGUACAGGAGAGGUAAGUGGAAUUCCUAGUGUAGCGGUGAAAUGCGUAGAUAUUAGGAAGAACACCAGUGGCGAAGGCGACUUACUGGACUGAAACUGACGCUGAGGCUCGAAAGCGUGGGGAGCGAACAGGCUUAGAUACCCCUGUAGUC
rnacentral:rRNA from 1 species